UACGUAGGGUGCGAGCGUUAAUCGGAAUUACUGGGCGUAAAGCGUGCGCAGGCGGUUUUGUAAGCCAGAUGUGAAAUCCCCGGGCUUAACCUGGGAAUGGCAUUUGGGACUGCAAGGCUGGAGUGCGGCAGAGGAGACUGGAAUUCCUGGUGUAGCAGUGAAAUGCGUAGAUAUCAGGAGGAACACCGAUGGCGAAGGCAGGUCUCUGGGCAGAAACUGACGCUGAGGAGCGAAAGCGUGGGGAGCGAACAGG
rnacentral:rRNA from 1 species